rnacentral:lncRNA from 1 species
CUGGUGCCCUGUACAGGUCUUAUAUGUGAUUCAAGACGUUUCUGUGAAAUUUGGUUGGAAUCAGACAUCAUUUGACGUGUUUCGGACCUAAAUAUCUAAAAAUGACAGCUUAUGAAGUUUGAUGAAAAAGUAAUGAUUUUGAGGCUUGAUUCCUCGUUUUUAUGUUAAUUUGGCGAUUUGAUCGCACGGUUAAGUUCGUAGGAGGUGGU